rnacentral:rRNA from 1 species
UACAGAGGUCUCAAGCGUUGUUCGGAUUCAUUGGGCGUAAAGGGUGCGUAGGCGGCGCGGUAAGUCGGGUGUGAAGUCCCAGGGCUCAACCCUGGAACUGCACUCGAUACUGCGUCGCUGGAGGACUGGAGAGGAGACUGGAAUUCACGGUGUAGCAGUGAAAUGCGUAGAUAUCGUGAGGAAGGCCAGUGGCGAAGGCGAGUCUCUGGACAGUUCCUGACGCUGAGGCACGAAGGCCAGGGGAGCAAACGGG